CCUCCGCGGGCAGCGGCGGCGGGAGCGGAGCGGCGGCGCCCGCCGGGGCUGGAUGAUGGCGCCGCCGGGCGCCCCGGCCGUGCCGGGCCCUCUGGCCCUGCUGGACCCCACAGGGCAGUUUGCAAAAAGGAAGAAGACUUCACUUUGGUUCACAGUCUCUCUGCUGGUGGUGUCUAUUUUCAUACUGACCAUAGGGCUGGCAGCUACAACGAGAACAGAAAAUGUUACCGUGGGAGGCUACUACCCAGGCAUCAUUCUUGGCUUUGGAUCUUUCCUAGGGAUUGUUGGCAUCCACCUGGUAGAGAACAGAAGACAAAUGCUGGUAGCCUCCAUCGUAUUUAUCAGCUUUGGCGUGGUAGCAGCAUUCUGUUGUGCAAUAGUUGAUGGAGUGUUUGCAGCACGACACAUAGAACCCAGACCUUUGUAUAACAGAAGGUGCCAGUUUUAUUCAAGCGGAGUAGGAUUCCUGUAUGAUGCCUACCAGACAGAGGUGACGUGUUAUACCUUAAACAACAAGUGCCAGCUGAAAGUAAAGAGUAACACAUGCUAUUGCUGUGACCUCUACAACUGUGAGAACUCAGAGCAGUCCUCCAGCUACUACGAAUUUCUCGGUGUGAGCAGCUGCCAGGACGUGGUUCACCUGUACAGGCUGCUGUGGUCCUCCACAGUCCUGAACAUCAUCGGGUUGUUCCUGGGGAUCAUCACGGCAGCCAUUCUCGGGGCCUUUAAAGACAUGGUACCUAUGUCCCAAAUUGCUUUCAGUGCUGCACCUCCUCCUCAGAUCCUGUACAAUCCUGCCCAGCAGAUCCUGACGUAUGCUGGGUUUUGUCCUUCUGCUGCAACUAUUUCUACGUAUCCAUCCUAUCCGUUGCCUCUUCAGCUGAAAAGCUGUGCUGUUCUGCAGAGUUCAGUUAGCAUGUAGCCAAGAAUAGAGAAGGGGAUAAACAGAGACGAACGAAAGCAAUGAGGCUGAAAAGAUGCAUGUAAGUAGUCUUGAGGAUCAAUUGUAAUUGUUCAGUCCUGUGUCCACUGAGAAAGAGAAAUAUUUACCCCUAAAUUCUUAACUGCAUUCCAAAAUAAACACUUUUUUUCCCCCUAGAUUUCUACUUUUUCUAAGAAGCGCGUUCCUUUGUCUUCUCUCCCCUUCAUAACACUCAGGGGCAGACAUCACCAGCUGUCCUCAAGCCAGGAGAGGUUAGCAAGAAGCACUGGGCUCCAAAAGGGAAAGCACUUAAUCCUUUUCUUGGAAAAGAAAAAAAAAAAGUCAAGCAGCUUUACUACAUGUAUGAGCUGAUUACAUUGUAGUUUAGAGAGAAUCAAUUUCUGCAUCAGCAUUCAGCAUAAUGGAACAGUUAUGAGUUAAAAAUCGUAAUAAACUUACUCAAAGUUACAAAAGGGUGAAUGUGAGAAGCAGGCCUGAUUUGGAACAGCCAGAUGCUCAAAUAACAUGCACAUCCAUUGAGAGCUGUAGGCUGAACCCAUAGGGCUGGAGGCCUUCAUAACCCAUCUAAGUGCUCCAAGCAGCUAGUGGCCUGGUGCCUAGCUGCUGAAUUCAAGCUUUCACAAGCCCUGCUCAGCUGGUUCUGGUCCUUAAGGCAACUACAGGCUUUGUGGCUGGGAUUCAGCUGGCUAAACACAGGGCUGUUGACAUGUAGGGAUCUAGUGCUGUGUGAUAAUGAAAUCAAGUAGCCACCUGGCCCCUGAUGCUGCUGUAGGAGGGUCCAGGUCCUGUAGUCGCUGUACCACCUCUGUGUAGACAUCUGGCAUGCCCCAUGACAUCCCAAAAGGGCUAGACACUCAUAUGUGGACAGCUGAAUUAAGAUCUAGAUGUCUACAGUGUAAAAGACUUCACCCGAGUGGGUCGAUCCUUCAGAGUCCACAGAGAGGGCAAGGCACUUCUCAUAUGUGGAUUAUCACAGGUGAAAGAUACAUGAAGUGAAUGGUAUGAAUGCACCCUAAAGUCCUUUCCACUGACCAGGGGUGGGAAUCAGUUUCUAUGCUGUGCACUUAGAUGUCUAUGUCAUUGAGCCCUCAAUUGUCUAAAGAUACAGCAUCUGAGAUGACCUAAUAUUUGCAAGACAUCCAUGAAAGGCUGGCUGUUGGCCAAAGGUCUAUGUGAGACUCGCAUGUACUUCUGGAACAGCACCCAGAGGUCUGAUAGGGUGCCCAUGGGCAUCUCAAAGCAUAACGUUUUUGAUUCCAGGUGGAUCAGAAGCCUGGCUGGGUACCCAGAGGGUGACAGAGCUCACAGGGGCACUCUCAGGGCAGCUCUCCUAUGCAGGCCCCACACAGUUUGAGGUGACACUGAGUGUGCUGAUGGCCAGCCCCAGCAGGAGCUCAUCCCUGCAUCCUGUCCACGUGUGAAGCCCAGCUGGAGGCCAGCAUCUCACCCUCAGGCCUCAUUCCUUUUCCAGUGACCUUGCUAACUGUACAGCGAGGCGGGCUCCAUGACACACCUCUCUUUUCAGCAUUCCCUUUGGCUCCCUGCUUUGGCUAAACAUCAUUCCUAAGCACCUGCAUUUCACACUGACCUGCACCUGCCCCAGUCAGGGUCACACGUGGUGGCUCAGCUCAACUAAGACUAAGGUUUGUUCUUAGUCUUCUGCUGAAUUCAGUAUCUCACUGAAUAACUGCUUGCUGGACAGGCAAACAAAGUCUUAAAAAAAAUAAAAUCACACCUUGAGCUGGUGCCAAACCAGCUUAGUUUACCUCACAGUUUGUCCGCAAGCAGAAAUCAGCCAAAUACAAAAACAGAGGUGACACCAGGAAUGCAUUUUGACGAAGUUGUAACCAGCAUUUCAUUUGUUUACCAUGGCAUGUGGUAACAAAAUCACUCAUCCCUUACUGGUACAGGUCAGUCACAGCCAGUCUUGGUAGGAGGCCUGCCAACUGGUCAGGUAAAUGAUGAGCUGUGCAGGGGCUGCUGGGGUUGUGAAAACAAAACAAAACAAAACAAAAAAUGAACUGUAAAAAGCAAUAACUACAUUUGGAGCUGAUCUAGCCAGCAGGUCUAUAGGUAUACUUGCACUGCCUCCUGCAUAGUUAUGGUGCAUAAACGACCUUCCUGUCACAAAGUUCCCUUUCUUCAAAGUUCCCCCCGUGGCAAGGGGCCUGGCAGCCCUGGGCAGCUCUGAGAUGCCACCAGCCAAGUAUCAGCCCUGGUACUGGCUUUGUAAAUGAUGACUACUCAUUUUUUUAGCAUGGCAUUUUAGGCCUGAACUUGAAGGGAGCUGAGCCCAACUCUUCUGGUGGAGCCCAUGGACUGGCAUGUGUUGGCAUGUGAGGGGAGGAGUGAAAUCCUGACCCUCUUGAAAUCAAUGGCAAAACUUGAUUUAAAGUAGUGGUAGGAUUUUAUCCAGAACAAUAGUCCCUAGAUGCAUCCUUUUGUUUUAAUAAAUCCUAGUUGUUACUCAGCAUGGGCUGCUUAUUUUUCAUGCCUCUUUCAGCCAAAUCCUCCUUGUAACUGAGACAGCCGAGGUGAAAGACCUACAGGGAGGUCUUUUAAAGAAUGCCUACCUGUAAAUUUUCUCUUAUAAGGAGUCUGCAUUUGGCACAGCAAUAAGACCCUGCCUUUAUGCAAGUAUUACAACUCUGAGAUUUCAGAGCGAUGCCUAGAAACUUGCAGCUAUAUGUAACUUAAUCAGCCAGUUGGGUGCCAUGCCUUACCCGGGAAACCAAAGCAUCUUCUGCAGAAAUUCCUGUUCUGUUGUCUAGCUGUAUGCACAGUAUCUAUUAAAAAUGACUUGGAUUACAGGUGGAAUCUGUCUUCUUUCACCAUACGCUGUAAUUGCUAUCCUUAAAAAGAUUCUCUAAUACUGAAGUGAGUGUUGUGCUGCAAUGCAUGAGAAAUUUAACCAUGGGACAUAAUACUGACAUGGUAAACAUUUAAAUCAGAGCCACA